rfam:Schistocephalus solidus strain NST_G2 genome assembly, scaffold: SSLN_contig0028840
CCGGCGAUAGCUCAGCUGGCAGAGCGGAGGACUGUAGUUGUGAGCAGUGAUCCUUAGGUCGGUGGUUCAAAUCCGCCUCGCCGGA